CUGUUCCUCAGAGGCUGCACACAGCUGGAUGAUGGCGCUCUGAAGCACUUACAGAAACACUGCCCCGAGCUCACCACCAUCAACAUGCAGUCUUGCACACAAAUCACAGACGAGGGCCUGGUCAGUCUGUGCCGAGGAUGCCACAAGCUGCAGGUCCUGUGU